rnacentral:siRNA from 1 species
UAAGUACACUGUUCCGGUUCAG